rnacentral:rRNA from 1 species
GAUGAACGCUAGCUACAGGCUUAACACAUGCAAGUCGAGGGGAAACGAUGAGAGAGCUUGCUCUCUUAGUCGUCGACCGGCGCACGGGUGAGUAACGCGUAUCCAACCUGCCUCUGACCAAGGGAUAACCCGUCGAAAGUCGGACUAAUACCUUAUGCAGUCGUCGGAAGUCAUCUGAUGACGACGAAAGAUUUCAUCGGUGAGAGAUGGGGAUGCGUCUGAUUAGCUUGUUGGCGGGGUAACGGCCCACCAAGGCGACGAUCAGUAGGGGUUCUGAGAGGAAGGUCCCCCACAUUGGAACUGAGAAACGGUCGAAACUCCUACGGGAGGCAGCAGUGAGGAAUAUUGGUCAAUGGGCGUAAGCCUGAACCAGCCAAGUAGCGUGCAGGAUGACGGCCCUAUGGGUUGUAAACUGCUUUUAUGCGGGGAUAAAGUGAGGGACGUGUCCUUCAUUGCAGGUACCGCAUGAAUAAGGACCGGCUAAUUCCGUG